rnacentral:rRNA from 1 species
GACGAACGCUGGCGGCGUGCUUAACACAUGCAAGUCGAACGGAAAGGCCCUGCUUUUGUGGGGUGCUCGAGUGGCGAACGGGUGAGUAACACGUGAGUAACCUGCCCUUGACUUUGGGAUAACUUCAGGAAACUGGGGCUAAUACCGGAUAUGAGCUCCUGCUGCAUGGUGUGGGUUGGAAAGUUUCGGCGGUUGGGGAUGGACUCGCGGCUUAUCAGCUUGUUGGUGGGGUAGUGGCUUACCAAGGCUUUGACGGGUAGCCGGCCUGAGAGGGUUACCGGCCACAUUGGGACUGAGAUACGGCCCAGACUCCUACGGGAGGCAGCAGUGGGGAAUAUUGCACAAUGGGCGGAAGCCUGAUGCAGCAACGCCGCGUGCGGGAUGACGGCCUUCGGGUUGUAAACCGCUUUCGCCUGUGACGAAGCGUGAGUGACGGUAAUGGGUAAAGAAGCACCGGCUAACUACGUG